rnacentral:rRNA from 1 species
UGCCAGACUCCUACGGGAGGCAGCAGUGGGGAAUAUUGCACAAUGGGGGAAACCCUGAUGCAGCAACGCCGCGUGAGUGAAGAAGUAUUUCGGUAUGUAAAGCUCUAUCAGCAGGGAAGAAGAUGACGGUACCUGAGUAAGAAGCCCCGGCUAACUACGUGCCAGCAGCCGCGGUAAUACGUAGGGGGCAAGCGUUAUCCGGAAUUACUGGGUGUAAAGGGAGCGUAGACGGUAAUGCAAGUCUGGAGUGAAAGGCGGGGGCCCAACCCCCGGACUGCUCUGGAAACUGUGUAACUGGAGUGCAGGAGAGGCAGGCGGAAUUCCUAGUGUAGCGGUGAAAUGCGUAGAUAUUAGGAGGAACACCAGUGGCGAAGGCGGCCUGCUGGACUGUAACUGACGUUGAGGCUCGAAAGCGUGGGGAGCAAACAGGAUUAGAUACCCUAGUAUA